UCCUCUCUCUCUCUUACCUGCGGGCCCACCCCACAGGCGUCUCUUCUGCCUCCCCUCUCUAUCUUCCCACGCCGUCGCCAGGAAACCAGGGUGCGCGCGCCGCGCAGCAUGCACCCCUGGCCGUCCAGCUCGACAGCAGCCAAGCCGCCACGCCCAGGCACGCACCGACCGGCGCCCAGGCCGAUGCCCUGCCCCUGCGCGCCCGCACAACCGACCGCCUGACCCGCGACACCGACGCGCCAGGAGCAGCUGAUGCCGCUUUGUUUAGUCUAUUCUAGAAAGUGUGAGCCAUGGAACAAAGCUGGUUGAAAAAAGAACUACAUGCAUUUACCCCGUUUUUGUUUGGUUUCAUCUUAUUCUUUCUUUCAGACGCUUUAUUGUAGGUGGUUCGGAGUUCUGUGUAUCACAAGAGACAUCUAGGUUGACCUCACUCUUCUUAGUGUUCAUGCCCACUAUGCAGGACAACACCGCAACACUGAUGGAGUUGGACGAUUUCAUCAGGCUGGACUGUAUCUGGAUGGGAUGGACUCUACUCGUAAGUAGAGAGAGUGCUUGUCUUGUGUAAUACCCAAAAGUGUAAACAGUGAAAAUAGAGAUGAGCUCAAUAUUUUGUGACCUAUAUUUAUCAUCUCAUGUGAACACUUCAUUUAAAAGUAAAUAAUCAAUAAAGGACAUAUCACUAAAUUGUGCA